rnacentral:rRNA from 1 species
CCCUUAGAUGUUCUGGGCUGCACGCGCGUUACACUGAAGCUAUCAACACGUUUUCCCUCCCUGAGAAGGGCGGGUAACCUUUUGAAUCAGCUUCGUGGUAGGGAUCGGGGCUUGCAAUUGUUCCCCGUGAACCAGGAAUUCCUAGUAGACGCGAGUCAUAAGCUCGCAUCGAUUAAGUCCCUGCCCUUUGUACACACCGCCCGUCGCUACUACCGAUUGAACGUUUUAGUGAGGCAUUUGGACCGACGCAUCUCAGUUUAACCGCUGGUUUGUGUUGGAAAGACUUCCAAACUUGAGCGUUUAGAGGAAGUAAAAGUCGUAACA